UUGAUUUGACAUAUCUUUAUAAUUCAAUAAUAAAAUUAUAUUUUAUUAUAUUAGUCAUAUUAGUCAUAAUUAUUAUAACUAUUUUGAAAUAAAAAAAGGUUUAUGGAUGAAGUAAUCGGAAUGACAAGUGGUUACGGUUGCGGAAAGCGGAGAAAGUCGGGAACCGUCGGUUACCUUUUGAAUCAAAGUAGCGACAAGCCGAGUAUUACG
rnacentral:lncRNA from 1 species